UCCCCGAUGGUCUAGUGGUCAUGAUUUCCGCUUGUCAUUCCUGGAUAACGAGCGCGGGAGACCGGGGUUCGAUUCCCCGUCGAGGAG